UACGGAGGGGGCGAGCGUUAUUCGGAAUUAUUGGGCGUAAAGGGCGCGUAGGCGGCCACCGCAAGUCGACUGUGAAAUCUCCGGGCUUAACCCGGAAAGGUCAGCCGAUACUGCGGGGCUAGAGUGCAGAAGGGGCAACUGGAAUUCUCGGUGUAGCGGUGAAAUGCGUAGAUAUCGAGAGGAACACCUGCGGCGAAGGCGGGUUGCUGGGCUGACACUGACGCUGAUGUGCGAAAGCUAGGGGAGCGAACGGG
rnacentral:rRNA from 1 species